rnacentral:tRNA from 1 species
GCUCAGUUCGUAGAGCACGACCUUGCCAAGGUCGGAGUCGCGAGUUCGAAUCUCGUUUCCCGCUCCA